CCCCGCAAGGGGAGUGGCAGACGGGUGAGUAACGCGUGGGAAUCUACCCAGAACUUCGGAACAACUGAGGGAAACUUCAGCUAAUACCGGAUACGCCCUACGGGGGAAAGAUUUAUCGGUUUUGGAUGAGCCCGCGUUGGAUUAGCUAGUUGGUGAGGUAAUGGCUCACCAAGGCGACGAUCCAUAGCUGGUCUGAGAGGAUGAUCAGCCACACUGGGACUGAGACACGGCCCAGACUCCUACGGGAGGCAGCAGUGGGGAAUAUUGGACAAUGGGCGAAAGCCUGAUCCAGCCAUGCCGCGUGAGUGAUGAAGGCCUUAGGGUUGUAAAGCUCUUUCAGUAGGGAAGAUAAUGACGGUACCCUUGGAGGAAGCCCCGGCUAACUACGUG
rnacentral:rRNA from 1 species